rnacentral:rRNA from 1 species
UACGGUGGGGGCAAGCGUUGUUCGGAAUUACUGGGCGUAAAGGGCUCGUAGGCGGCCAACUAAGUCGGAUGUGAAAUCCCCAGGCUUAACCUGGGAACUGCAUCCGAUACUGGAUGGCUUGAAUCCGGGAGAGGGAUGCAGAAUUCCAGGUGUAGCGGUGAAAUGCGUAGAUAUCUGGAGGAAUACCGGUGGCGAAGGCGGCAUCCUGGACCGGCAUUGACGCUGAGUGAGCGAAAGCCAGGGGAGCAAACGGG